AUUGCGCAAGGGAUAGCAGCGGUUAGCUCCCGUUCGCGAAAAAGCGAGCGGGACUAAAAGCGUAUAGCCCGACCCGUU
rnacentral:sRNA from 1 species